UCCGACAUACGCAAGUCUAUAAUUGCGUAUAGUUACCGUGCAUAUCAUCUGCCUUCGGAAUUAAUUCCACAAACCGCUCGUCACUUCGACAUAUAUAAAAGUUAAAUAUAGAAGCAUAUAUUUUCAAUGGAAAAGGAUAUUGUCUAUUAGAAAGUCACUAUAACAAAGACAAAGUAUUCUGCUAUUGGAAAAGUUCGCCGAGGCACCGGCACCGGCACCGGAUUGGACCUUACGUAAGCACUUAGCAACUUUGCACCAUCGACUUUGGAACGACUCUAGAAUGCAGUGAAAGAUUUGUGUUGCAAGCUCCACUUGUUAUAUUUCCACGCGUACCUACUAACUUUAGCUUUUUUGGAGUUUCGC